rfam:Coccidioides immitis RMSCC 3703 supercont1.59 genomic scaffold, whole genome shotgun sequence.
GCCGGGCUAGCUCAAUCGGUAGAGCGUGUGGCUCUUAUGCGUAAGGUUCAUAAAAACCGCGGAUUAACCACAAGGUUGCGAGUUCGACCCUCGCGUUCGGCU